ACUACAAUUACUACAACAAAAUUUUCAACAUAAAUGGCAAAUAUUAUGUCAAUAUUAACUCAAACUACUCGAAAAAUCGCUCUUUUUUUAAUAACCGAGAAAUUCUUUUAAAACCAACCGUUAAGACCAAACAUAGUCUUCGAAACUCUUAAGAUAAUAAAUCCGAUCUUCUAUCCUUAUCCACUCAAAUAUCAGACGUAUUUCGCACGUCUAAGGUCAUAAGUCCAACAUUUGCUACUAAAACUAAGCCUUGAAUCUUUUACCUUCUAGUUUUUACACCUAGUUUGAUUACGAUCUUAGUUACAUUUUAUGUGUCUUAAUUUGACUGAACACGAAAUUUAAGAAAAACGAUUGAAGCUUGUAUGGUUAAACUAUAGAGAAG
rnacentral:misc_RNA from 1 species